GGAACCCUCUGACAGAUGACGAAAU
rnacentral:piRNA from 1 species